AACGCACAUUGCGCCCGCUAGUAUUCUGGCGGGCAUGCCUGUUCGAGCGUCAUUUCAACCCUCAGGCCCGUCCUGGUGUUGGGAGACUCAUGGCGCGCAAGCGCCGAUGAGCCCCCGAAAGCUAGUUCUGAGCCGACGAGACUAUGCGGUAGUUAUGUAACAGUUACUACGGCGUCUCGGCGGCUUUCAAUACCCAAGGUUGACCUCGGAUCAGGUAGGAAUACCCGCUGAACUUAA
rnacentral:misc_RNA from 1 species